GAAAUGCGAUAAGUAAUGUGAAUUGCAGAAUUCAGUGAAUCAUCGAAUCUUUGAACGCACAUUGCGCCCGCCAGUAUUCUGGCGGGCAUGCCUGUUCGAGCGUCAUUUCAACCAUCAAGCCCCGCGCUUGUGUUGGGGACCUGCGGCUGCCGCAGGCCCUGAAAACCAGUGGCGGGCUCGCUGUCACACCGAGCGUAGUAGAUUUCUCAUCUCGCUCAGGGCGUGCUGCGGGUUCCGGUCGUAAAAAAGCCUUAUUUUACCCAAGGUUGACCUCGGAUCAGGUAGGAAGACCCGCUGAACUUAAGC
rnacentral:misc_RNA from 1 species